rnacentral:misc_RNA from 1 species
GAACGCACCUUGCGCUCUUUGGUAUUCCGAAGAGCAUGCCUGUUUGAGUGUCAUGAAAAUAUCAACCUUGACUUGGGUUUUGUGCUCUAGUCUUGGCUUGGAAUUGGGUGCUUGCCGCUUUUACGAGCGGCUCACCUUAAAUGUAUUAGCUGGAUCUGUCUUUGAGACUUGGUUUGACUUGGCGUAAUAAGUAUUUCGCUAAGGACAUUCUUCGGAGUGGCCUCGUUUCUAGGACGCUUGUCCGCUUCCCAAUACAAGUUCCACCUCGUGGACAUGACUUUUUAUUAUCUGGCCUCAAAUCAGGUAGGACUACCCGCUGAACUUAAG